GUGGGGAAUAUUGGUCAAUGGGGGAAACCCUGAACCAGCAACGCCGCGUGAAGGAAGAAGGCUUUCGGGUUGUAAACUUCUUUGACAGGGGACGAAACAAAUGACGGUACCCUGAAAACAAGCCACGGCUAACUACGUGCCAGCAGCCGCGGUAAUACGUAGGUGGCAAGUGUUGUCCGGAUUUACUGGGUGUAAAGGGCGUGUAGGCGGGACGGUAAGUCAGAUGUGAAAUGUAGGGGCUCAACCCCUGAACUGCAGUUGAAACUAUCGUGCUUGAGUGAUGGAGAGGCAGGCGGAAUUCCGUGUGUAGCGGUGAAAUGCGUAGAUAUACGGAGGAACACCAGUGGCGAAGGCGGCCUGCUGGACAUUAACUGACGCUGAUGCGCGAAAGCGUGGGGAGCAAACAGGAUUAGAAACCCUAGUAGUCC
rnacentral:rRNA from 1 species